rnacentral:rRNA from 1 species
UACGUAGGGGGCAAGCGUUGUCCGGAUUUAUUGGGCGUAAAGCGCGCGCAGGCGGUCUCUUAAGUCUGAUGUGAAAGCCCACGGCUCAACCGUGGAAGGUCAUUGGAUACUGGGUGUCUUGAGUGUGGGAGAGGACAGUGGAAUUCCCAGUGUAGCGGUGAAAUGCGUAGAGAUCGGGAGGAACACCGGUGGCGAAGGCGGCUCACUGGCUCAUUACUGGCGCUGAGGUGCGAAAGCGUGGGGAGCAAACAGG